UAGGGAAUCUUCGGCAAUGGACGGAAGUCUGACCGAGCAACGCCGCGUGAGUGAAGAAGGUUUUCGGAUCGUAAAGCUCUGUUGUUAGAGAAGAACGUUGGUAGGAGUGGAAAAUCUACCAAGUGACGGUAACUAACCAGAAAGGGACGGCUAACUACGUGCCAGCAGCCGCGGUAAUACGUAGGUCCCGAGCGUUGUCCGGAUUUAUUGGGCGUAAAGCGAGCGCAGGCGGUUCUUUAAGUCUGAAGUUAAAGGCAGUGGCUUAACCAUUGUACGCUUUGGAGACUGGAGGACUUGAGUGCAGAAGGGGCGAGUGGAAUUCCAUGUGUAGCGGUUCAAUGCGUAGAUAUAUGGAGGAACACCGGUGGCGACAGCGGCUCUCUGGUCAGUAACUGACGCUGAGGCUCGAAAGCGUGGGGAUCAAACAGG
rnacentral:rRNA from 1 species